rnacentral:rRNA from 1 species
AUGCGCCUGUGUGCGCACACCCAAAUCAAUCUCUGGGCUCUUCCACUGCACGCACGUGCGAUAAGGGACUCCGAGUGCGAGGGCAUAUCGUCCUCGCUUUCGUGUACCGUAGGGUGGUACACCAACAAGGGCUGGGCAAGACCGGUGCCAGCCGCCGCGGUAAUACCGGCAGCCCGAGUGAUGGCCGAUCUUAUUGGGCCCUAAAGCGUCCGUAGCUGGCUGCGCAAGUCCGUCGGGAAAUCCACUCGCCCACGAGUGGGCGUCCGACGGAAACUGCACAGCUUGGGACCGGAAGGCUCGAAGGGUACGUUCGGGGUAGGAGUGAAAUCCCAUAAUCCCGCACGGACCACCGAUGGCGAAAGCACUUCGAGAAAACGGAUCCGACAGUGAGGGACGAAAGCCAGGGUCUCCAACCGGAUUAGAUACCCGGGUAGUCCUGGCCGUAAACAAUGUUCGCUAGGUAUGACACAGACUACGUGUCUCUGUGUGCCGUAGGAAGCCGAGAAGCGAAC